CUUCCUUUUCACCACAGUGUGUGUGCCGCUCCUAUGUGCUCCCGUUUGUCUGAGGAAAUGCUGAUGUCCGGAUCUGUCCCUCUCAUCUUCCCUCCUGUAUGAGAGUGUGUGCGCGCAUCUACUUCUGCUGAAGUUGUCGGAGGCCAGUGGUGUUGGUGACUGGUGGUGGUGUCCCCUCGUUUGAUGUGCUGUGCUCCCUGGUGUUGGUUACUUCAAAGCGUGUGUGGGUGAUUUAACUCCCCGUUCACUAACACCUGUCCACCUGGUAAACCUCUGCUCCUGACUAGUUUCCCUUCCCCUUGUGUGAGUGAUUUUGACUUAUUUAUUAACUGAUUGUAAUAAAAGAUAUAUUUUUAUACCUUGAACCACAUCUGUUGCCAAGUGAAUAGAACAAACCUGUGUCUAGUAUUUAAAACCAAAAUUCUCUGGGUGAAAUUCCCAGGGUGGCGUUGUCAUGCAACAGUGUAAAUUUCUCUCAAACAAAUUUUGACGUCCGUUAGUGUAAUUAUUCACCCUACCCUCGCCACAAAGGGAAGGUUUGUGGGAGAGUAUGUGUGAGUGCAGAUAAAAAUAUAUACUUAUAUACUAUUUUCUCAGUUUGGUGUAUGUAUAUGGAUACAGGGGCAUGUAGGUGGAUGAGAGAAUACACAAGUAUUUGCUUGUUGUUGUUGUGGUUUUUUUUUUUUUUUUUUUCUCUCCCCGAUUACUCUGUUAGUGGGUAUCAGAGGCUUGUAACAUAAUGAAAAUGUUAAGUGCAUCACGCAUAACCUGUGUUUCA